GGGGAAUAUUGCACAAUGGGCGCAAGCCUGAUGCAGCCAUGCCGCGUGUGUGAAGAAGGCCUUCGGGUUGUAAAGCACUUUCAGCGAGGAGGAAGGGUAGUGUGUUAAUAGCACAUUGCAUUGACGUUACUCGCAGAAGAAGCACCGGCUAACUCCGUGCCAGCAGCCGCGGUAAUACGGAGGGUGCAAGCGUUAAUCGGAAUUACUGGGCGUAAAGCGCACGCAGGCGGUUUGUUAAGUCAGAUGUGAAAUCCCCGCGCUUAACGUGGGAACUGCAUUUGAAACUGGCAAGCUAGAGUCUUGUAGAGGGGGGUAGAAUUCCAGGUGUAGCGGUGAAAUGCGUAGAGAUCUGGAGGAAUACCGGUGGCGAAGGCGGCCCCCUGGACAAAGACUGACGCUCAGGUGCGAAAGCGUGGGAAGCAAACAGGAUUAGAUACCCUGGUAGUCCACGCUGUAAACGAUGUCGACUUGGAGGUUGUGCCCUUGAGGCGUGGCUUCCGGAGCUAACGCGUUAAGUCGACCGCCUGGGGGAGUACGGCCGCAAGGUUAAAAC
rnacentral:rRNA from 1 species